rnacentral:rRNA from 1 species
UCGAACGGGUGAGUAACGCGGGAAUUACAUGCCCUUUCAGUGGGGGAUAGCCCAGGGAAACUUGGAUUAAUAACCCCAUGGACUCGCAAGAGUAAAGGUGGCCAGCAGUGGCUGUCGCUGAGGGAUUGGUUCGCGCCCUAUCAGCUUGUUGGCGGGGUAACGGCCCACCAAGGCUACGACGGGUACCUGGUCUGAGAGGACGAUCAGGCACACUGGAACCGAGACACGGUCCAGACACCUACGGGUGGCAGCAGUCGAGAAUAAUUCACAAUGGGGGCAACCCUGAUGGUGCAGCGCCGCGUGGAGGAUGACGGUCUUCGGAUUGUAAACUCCUGUCAUCCGGGAGUAAGACCUGGCGGUUAAUAGCCGACAGGGUUGAUAGUACCGGAAGAGGAAGGGACGGCUAACUUCGUGCCAGCAGCCGCGGUAAUACGAAGGUCCCGAGCGUUGUUCGGAAUCACUGGGCGUAAAGGGAGCGUAGGCGGCGCGGUAAGUCAGAUGUGAAAUCCCGGGGCUCAACCCCGGAACUGCAUCCGAUACUGCCGUGCUAGAGGAUUGGAGAGGUAGCUGGAAUUCUUGGUGUAGCAGUGAAAUGCGUGGAUAUCAAGAGGAACACUCGUGGCGAAAGCGAGCUACUGGACAACUCCUGACGCUGAGGCUCGAAGGCCAGGGUAGCGAAAGGGAUUAGAUACCCCAGUAGUC